GCUCUGGUGGCCCAGUGGUAACUCUUCUGCCUGUGGUGUGGGCGAGCCGGGUUCGAUUCCCGCCGUUGGCGCC